UACGGGGGGCAAGCGUUGUUCGGAAUUACUGGGUGUAAAGGGCUCGUAGGCGGCCAACUAAGUCAGACGUGAAAUCCCCAGGCUCAACCUGGGAACUGCGUCUGAUACUGGAUGGCUUGAAUCCGGGAGAGGGAUGCAGAAUUCCAGGUGUAGCGGUGAAAUGCGUAGAUAUCUGGAGGAAUACCGGUGGCGAAGGCGGCAUCCUGGACCGGCAUUGACGCUGAGGAGCGAAAGCCAGGGGAGCAAACGGG
rnacentral:rRNA from 1 species